rnacentral:lncRNA from 10 species
AGAUCAGCCCUGGGGUUCAGAGGGAUCCUGACAGCUACUCCUCAAGAUCCUCUCUGUUGUGAUUCAUCCCCCCGGGGCCCUACAGUUUCUCCUUCCUGACUCUUACAUUUCUUUGGAUGGCAUCAUUAUUGCUGGAGUGCAGUGAUGUGAUCUCGGCUCACUGCAACCCCUGCCUCCUGGAUUCAAGCAAUUCUCCUGCCUCACCCUCCCAAGUAGCUGGGAUUACAGUACCUGUCUCCUCCCAUAGUUAGGUGCCAAGCACUGUGGAUUCUGCCUCUCAGUGUCCAGACACCCAUUUUCCUUCCCACUGUUCCUUCCCCAUGGAGAAGCCUGUGGCUGGCUGACAGCAGAGAGAGAUGCUCAACUUGGAGAAGGUGUUACCUGGGCCAGGUGGGGAAGGUUUGUUUGCAGAGCAAAGAAGUGAAGCCUAUUCAACGUGAAAAAGAUGAGGAUGAAGACCUUUAUUAUGAUCCACUUCCAAGUAAUGAACACACUGGAGAAAGUCAGACAGUCAAAACAAUGUCCCAGACUCCGUGAAGUUCCUGGGUAGAGAAGGAGACAGACAUAUACCAUACCUAAUAAUUGGAUGUCCGAGAGAAUGAGAGAAUGGCAGAAAGAACUUUAGAGCAUGGGUAUGAUGGCUAGAGCUUGAGCAGCCAUUGUGGACAUCAGAUGAACUUGAAAGUGAAAACUAUGAGCUGAAUACGACAAAGCAAACAGAUAGAAAACUGGAUUCAUUAUGAC